rfam:Triticum aestivum genome assembly, contig: Triticum_aestivum_CS42_TGACv1_scaffold_593023_7BS
AAAGUACUCCCUCCAUCCCAAAAUUCUUGUCUUAGAUUUGUCUAGAUACGGAUGUAUCAAGUCACAUUUUAGUAUUAGAUACAUUCAUAUCUAGACAAAUCUAAGACAAGAAAUUUGGGAGAGGGAGUAGUUG